AUUCUGCCCAUGCGGGGAAGGAUGAGAAGCUUCGACUAAGGUUCGGCUCGAGCGUCAGCGAGAGAGCGUUGCCGCAGGCAACGACCCGAAGGGCG
rnacentral:sRNA from 1 species